GACAGAGGGUGCAAACGUUGUUCGGAAUUACUGGGCGUAAAGCGUGUGUAGGCGGCCGCACAGGUCCGUUGUGAAAACUGGAGGCUUAACCUUCAGACGUCGAUGGAAACCGUGCGGCUAGAGUCCGGAAGAGGAGAAUGGAAUUCCUGGUGUAGCGGUGAAAUGCGCAGAUAUCAGGAAGAACACCCGUGGCUAAGGCGGUUCUCUAGUACGGUACUGACGCUGAGACGCGAAAGCGUGGGGAGCGAACAGG
rnacentral:rRNA from 1 species